rnacentral:sRNA from 2 species
CGCUCCGUCCUAGGGGAGUAGUCUCCCGCGAGCCACCGGCUCGUCCGGCAUGCAUCAACAUACUUGGCCCGCAGGCCAUGGUGCGUGCGACCCGCAAUCCGCGUCAGACGGAGCAGGGUU